UAGGGUUUAUUAUACAUGUAGCACCUGGUUCCUGGUAUGUAAGAUUAUUUGAGUAUUUUUCCAUUUUUAGCCUUGGACUCGGCGAGUCAUAGGUCCGACUCGCCGAGUAGAGACGGGACCCGGGACAUGUUUAAGUGGGCGACUCGGCGAGUCCAUAUCCUGGACUCGGCGAGUCACCGCUGUUUGAUGAAACCCUAAGUUUCAGGGGUUUGCACCCUAUUUAAGCCUCAUAUCCGCCCCAAGCCAGCCCCCAUUCACCCUCAGAGCCCCCAACCCUCGUUCAAAGCUUAUUUCCUUGAGAGUUUGAAGCCUUUUUGUGUGCUCUUGAAGGUUUUGAGAAGGAAGUGGAGUAGAUCAAGAGGAAGGGAAGGAAGCCAAGCCUCUUAGUGUUCUCUCAGUGAUUCCUUGAGCCGGAGGAUUUCCGGAGCAGCAGCAGCAGCAGUAGACAGUCAGUUUCCGAUCAGAUCAGCAGCUACUUUGAGGUACCUCUUCAUCAAAGGGGAAGGAGCUGGCGCGGUAGCAGCACAUCAUGCACACACACUGGUUUCCGCAUUUACGAGAUUUCUCUGGGAUUUAUACUCUAAUAUUUCGAUUGGUUGUAUGAUUUGGCUUUUAGACAUGGUUUACGUUGUGAUGUGGUUUAAUCAAACAAUGUUUUUAAUUAUUAAUGUUUUCUAAAGUAAUGUUUUAAAAACGAAAAUUUUGGA